UUUAUUUUUUAAUGCCGUUUUCGUUUACCUAUAGAGACGACAUGUCGUCUCUAUGUCGUCUCUAUAGGGUUUUACCAUAACAAAAACCCUUUCAGUCUUCAUUUUCCAGUCGACUGCCCAGACAUUUUCCUCUCAAUUGCUUCGCCGAUCCCAGUCGGCUGCCCAACAAAGGUUUUCUCCCCCUUUCUCUUUUGGAUUUCGACUCUUUGGAUGUCCGGUUUUUUCUUCUAUACCAGGAACUUGUAAUCUCUAUUCCUUUCCCAGGUUCUACUCAUCUGUAAUCUCAAUCCCCAUCAUCAAUCGUCUUCUUCUUCAAAUCGGUACUACACUUCUGCUAGGCUUGCUCGAUUCUUCACAUCUCUUCCUUCCGACACAUCCAUGGCUUCUGACAAGUCAACACCGCCGCUUACUAUCGACUCCCUCAACCCAAAGGUCUUGAAAUGUGAGUAUGUUGUACGUGGUGAAAUUGUCUCUCUAGCUCAGGUAAUGUAAUGAACUGGAUUCACUAAAAAACCUUAUUAAAUAAGCAUGUCAGGGAUGUAUAUAUCGGGGAAAUAAUUAAUAAUGAGUAUAUUUAUAGAAAACUUUCCAUCUUUUUAAUCAAUAUAUGCAUUCAAGUAUACUAAUUUGCAUAUAUAAAACUUACAAUGCUGAUUUCAUCGAACGAGCAUGGCAGAUUCUUGAUCAAACUCCUGGUAGAGCUACUGGUGCAUAUAGACAUAUAGUCACAGGGGUAAAACAGGAAGUGCAGUUUAAGGGUUUAAGGAAAUGCACUGUAUCUUUUUUGAAAACGUUUUGGAUACAAGAAAGAUAAUAGAGCAAUGCAUAAUGAUUUUUCAGGUUCCUUAUUAUCUUGAUUAAGCAACAUGGUAGGGAGUUGAGGUCUUUGAGCUCAACUGCUAGACAAAAGGGUAUUACUCUGAGAGCCCUUUUUUUCAUUAAUCCAGGAAACCCAAAUGGCCAGGUUCUUGCUGAAGAGAACAACGAGACAUUGUUGAGUUCUGCAAGAAAGAAGGUCAGGUUCUUCUAGUAGCUGAGGUUUAUCAGGAAAACAUUUAUGUCCCUGAAAAGCAGUUUUGCUCUUUUAAGAAAGUUGCUCGUUCAAUUGGAUAUGGUGACAAGGAUAUUCCCUGGGUUUAUUUUCAGUCAGUGUCUAAAGUUGUUCUUUGGAAUGGAAUCUUGCUGGUCUUCCGGAUGAUGAAGCAGCAAAAUACUUUGAGAACAAGAUCCGAAGUAAUCAUAAUAAUCGGCUAAGAAGGACUUGCAGAAGGAAGCCAUGUUCCUAAGUGUCAGCCUUUUGGACAAUUAGCAAUAAUAAAUGCAAAUGGGUUAAAAAAAAAGCAACCCUUUGGAGGAUUUAGUCAGCAUCCCUUUGGUCACUUUUAUUUCUGUAUGAAUUUUGUAGUUCAUAAUAACACUACAAUAGUCAAAUGUUGUAAUUCAACUGAAGAAUUUCUUUUAAUUGUAAAAUCAAAUUAAAUUAAUGGUAUGUUAUGAAUGAUAUGUUUAUUAA